rnacentral:rRNA from 1 species
UACAGAGGUCUCAAGCGUUGUUCGGAUUCAUUGGGCGUAAAGGGCGCGUAGGCUGCGGGGCAAGUCGGGUGUGAAAUCUCAGAGCUCAACUCUGAAACUGCACUCGAUACUGCUUUGCUUGAGGACUGGAGAGGAGAUUGGAAUUCACGGUGUAGCAGUGAAAUGCGUAGAUAUCGUGAGGAAGACCAGUGGCGAAGGCGGAUCUCUGGACAGUUCCUGACACUGAGACGCGAAGGCCAGGGGAGCAAACGGG